rnacentral:rRNA from 1 species
UGGGGAAUUUUGGACAAUGGGCGAAAGCCUGAUCCAGCAAUGCCGCGUGUGUGAAGAAGGCCUUCGGGUUGUAAAGCACUUUUGUCCGGAAAGAAAUCCUUGGCUCUAAUACAGUCGGGGGAUGACGGUACCGGAAGAAUAAGCACCGGCUAACUACGUGCCAGCAGCCGCGGUAAUACGUAGGGUGCAAGCGUUAAUCGGAAUUACUGGGCGUAAAGCGUGCGCAGGCGGUUUGCUAAGACCGAUGUGAAAUCCCCGGGCUCAACCUGGGAACUGCAUUGGUGACUGGCAGGCUAGAGUAUGGCAGAGGGGGGUAGAAUUCCACGUGUAGCAGUGAAAUGCGUAGAGAUGUGGAGGAAUACCGAUGGCGAAGGCAGCCCCCUGGGCCAAUACUGACGCUCAUGCACGAAAGCGUGGGGAGCAAACAGGAUUAGAUACCCCUGGUAGUCCACGCCCUAAACGAUGUCAACUAGUUGUUGGGGAUUCAUUUCCUUAGUAACGUAGCUAACGCGUGAAGUUGACCGCCUGGGGAGUACGGUCGCAAGAUU